rnacentral:rRNA from 1 species
AUCGAACGCUGGCGGCAGGCCUAACACAUGCAAGUCGAACGAGUGGCGGACUGGUGCGUAAUGUCUUGGAAACUGCCUGAUGGAGGGGGAUAACUACUGUAAACGGUAGCUAAUACCGCAUACCAUCAGAUGUGCCCAGAUGGGAUUAGCUAGUUGGUGGGGUAACGGCUCACCAAGGCGACGAUCCCUAGCUGGUCUGAGAGGGUGACCAGCCACACUGGAACUGAGACACGGCCCAGACUCCUACGGGAGGCAGCAGUGGGGAAUAUUGCACAAUGGGCGCAAGCCUGAUGCAGCCAGGCCGCGUGUAUGAAGAAGGCCUUCGGGUUGUAAAGUACUUUCAGCGGGGAGGCGUUACCCGCACAAGAAGCACCGGCUAACUCCGUGCCAGCAGCCGCGGUAAUAC